rnacentral:rRNA from 1 species
GACGAACGCUGGCGGCGUGCUUAACACAUGCAAGUCGAACGGAAAGGCCCUGCUUUUGUUGGUUGCUCGAGUGGCGAACGGGUGAGUAACACGUGAGUAACCUGCCCUUGACUUUGUGAUAACUUCAGGAAACUGGGGCUAAUACCGGAUAGGAUCUCCUGCUGCAUGUUGGGGGUUGGAAAGUUUCGGCGGUUGGGGAUGGACUCGCGGCUUAUCAGCUUGUUGGUGGGGUAGUGGCUUACAAAGGCUUUGACGGGUAGCCGGCCUGAGAGGGUUACCGGCCACAUUGGGACUGAGAUACGGCCCAGAAUCCUACGGGAGGCAGCAGUGGGGAAUAUUGCACAAUGGGCGGAAGCGUGAUGCAGCAACGCCGCGUGCGGGAUGACGGCCUUCGGGUGGUAAACCGCUGUCGCAUGUGACGAAGCGGGAGUGACGGUAAUGGGUAAAGAAGCACCGGCUAACUACGUG